UACAGAGGGUGCGAGCGUUGUCCGGAAUUAUUGGGCGUAAAGAGCUCGUAGGCGGUCUGUCGCGUCUGCUGUGAAAACUCGGGGCUUAACCCCGGGCCUGCAGUGGGUACGGGCAGACUAGAGUGCGGUAGGGGAGACUGGAAUUCCUGGUGUAGCGGUGAAAUGCGCAGAUAUCAGGAGGAACACCGGUGGCGAAGGCGGGUCUCUGGGCCGUAACUGACGCUGAGGAGCGAAAGCGUGGGGAGCGAACAGG
rnacentral:rRNA from 1 species